rnacentral:ncRNA from 1 species
CGCAUGGGGAAUGCGAUCUCCCCACGAGGCGACAUGCCGAAGCAUCGCGUCCCGCUCAUCGCCAAGGACGCACAACCAUG